rnacentral:rRNA from 1 species
UACGUAGGGUGCGAGCGUUACUCGGAAUUACUGGGCGUAAAGCGUGCGCAGGCGGUUCGUUAAGUCAGAUGUGAAAGCCCCGGGCUCAACCUGGGAACUGCAUUUGAAACUGGCGGGCUUGAGUAUGGCAGAGGGGGGUGGAAUUCCGCGUGUAGCAGUGAAAUGCGUAGAGAUGCGGAGGAACACCGAUGGCGAAGGCAGCCCCCUGGGCCAAUACUGACGCUGAGGCACGAAAGCUAGGGGAGCAAACAGG